AUUGAACGCUGGCGGCAUGCUUUACACAUGCAAGUCGAACGGUAACAGCACUUCGGUGGCUGACGAGUGGCGAACGGGUGAGUAAUACAUCGGAACGUGCCUAGUAGUGGGGGAUAACUACUCGAAAGAGUAGCUAAUACCGCAUGAGAUCUAAGGAUGAAAGCAGGGGACCUUCGGGCCUUGCGCUACUAGAGCGGCUGAUGGCAGAUUAGGUAGUUGGUGGGAUAAAAGCUUACCAAGCCGACGAUCUGUAGCUGGUCUGAGAGGACGACCAGCCACACUGGGACUGAGACACGGCCCAGACUCCUACGGGAGGCAGCAGUGGGGAAUUUUGGACAAUGGGCGCAAGCCUGAUCCAGCAAUGCCGCGUGCAGGAUGAAGGCCUUCGGGUUGUAAACUGCUUUUGUACGGAACGAAAAGCCCUCUUCUAAUACAGGAGGGUCAUGACGGUACCGGAAGAAUAAGCACCGGCUAGCUACGUG
rnacentral:rRNA from 1 species